rnacentral:rRNA from 1 species
UACGAAUGGGGCAAGCGUUGUUCGGAAUCACUGGGCUUAAAGCGUGCGCAGGCGGUCAUGCAAGUCAGAAGUGAAAUCCCGGGGCUUAACCCCGGAAUUGCUUUUGAAACUGCACGACUAGAAUAUGGGAGAGGUUAGCAGAAUUCCGAGUGUAGAGGUGAAAUUCGCAGAUAUUCGGAGGAAUACCAGUGGCGAAGGCGGCUAACUGGACCAUUAUUGACGCUCAGGCACGAAAGCGUGGGGAGCAAACAGG